rnacentral:rRNA from 1 species
AUUGAACGCUGGCGGCAGGCUUAACACAUGCAAGUCGAGCGGGGGAAGGUAGCUUGCUACUGGACCUAGCGGCGGACGGGUGAGUAAUGCUUAGGAAUCUGCCUAUUAGUGGGGGACAACAUCUCGAAAGGGGUGCUAAUACUGCAUACGUCCUACGGGAGAAAGCAGGGGAUCUUCGGACCUUGCGCUAAUAGAUGAGCCUAAGUCGGAUUAGCUAGUUGGUGGGGUAAAGGCCUACCAAGGCGACGAUCUGUAGCGGGUCUGAGAGGAUGAUCCGCCACACUGGGACUGAGACACGGCCCAGACUCCUACGGGAGGCAGCAGUGGGGAAUAUUGGACAAUGGGGGGAACCCUGAUCCAGCCAUGCCGCGUGUGUGAAGAAGGCCUUAUGGUUGUAAAGCACUUUAAGCGAGGAGGAGGCUACUUUAGUUAAUACCUAGAGAUAGUGGACGUUACUCGCAGAAUAAGCACCGGCUAACUCUGUGCCAGCCGCCGCUGUAA